UAGGGAAUCUUCGGCAAUGGACGAAAGUCUGACCGAGCAACGCCGCGUGAGUGAAGAAGGUUUUCGGAUCGUAAAACUCUGUUGUUAGAGAAGAACAAGGACGUUAGUAACUGAACGUCCCCUGACGGUAUCUAACCAGAAAGCCACGGCUAACUACGUGCCAGCAGCCGCCGUAAUACGUAGGUGGCAAGCGUUGUCCGGAUUUAUUGGGCGUAAAGCGAGCGCAGGCGGUUACUUAAGUCUGAAGUGAAAGGCCCCGGCUCACCCGGGGAGGGUCAUUAGGAACUGGCAGACGUGAGUGCAAAAGAGGAGAGUUGAGUUCCAUGUGUGGCAGUGAAAUGCGUAGAUAUAUGGAGGAACACCGGUAGCGCAAGCGGCUCUAUGGUCUGUAACGGACGCUGAGGCUCGAAAGCGUAGCGAACAGACAUG
rnacentral:rRNA from 1 species